UUAUGAAUAAGGAUCGGCUAACUCCGUGCCAGCAGCCGCGGUAAUACGGAGGAUCCGAGCGUUAUCCGGAUUUAUUGGGUUUAAAGGGAGCGUAGGUGGACUGGUAAGUCAGUUGUGAAAGUUUGCGGCUCAACCGUAAAAUUGCAGUUGAUACUGUCAGUCUUGAGUACAGUAGAGGUGGGCGGAAUUCGUGGUGUAGCGGUGAAAUGCUUAGAUAUCACGAAGAACUCCGAUUGCGAAGGCAGCUCACUGGACUGCAACUGACACUGAUGCUCGAAAGUGUGGGUAUCAAACAGGAUUAGAUACCCUGGUAGUCCACACAGUAAACGAUGAAUACUCGCUGUUUGCGAUAUACAGUAAGCGGCCAAGCGAAAGCAUUAAGUAUUCCACCUGGGGAGUACGCCGGCAACGGUGAAACUCAAAGGAAUUGACGGGGGCCCGCACAAGCGGAGGAACAUGUGGUUUAAUUCGAUGAUACGCGAGGAACCUUACCCGGGCUUAAAUUGCAGUGGAAUGAUGUGGAAACAUGUCAGUGAGCAAUCACCGCUGUGAAGGUGCUGCAUGGUUGUCGUCAGCUCGUGCCGUGAGGUGUCGGCUUAAGUGCCAUAACGAGCGCAACCCUUGUUGUCAGUUACUAACAGGUGAUGCUGAGGACUCUGACAAGACUGCCAUCGUAAGAUGUGAGGAAGGUGGGGAUGACGUCAAAUCAGCACGGCCCUUACGUCCGGGGCUACACACGUGUUACAAUGGGGGGUACAGAAGGCAGCUAGCGGGUGACCGUAUGCUAAUCCCAAAAUCCUCUCUCAGUUCGGAUCGAAGUCUGCAACCCGACUUCGUGAAGCUGGAUUCGCUAGUAAUCGCGCAUCAGCCAUGGCGCGGUGAAUACGUUCCCGGGCCUUGUACACACCGCCCGUCAAGCCAUGGGAGCCGGGGGUACCUGAAGUACGUAACCGCAAGGAUCGUCCUAGGGUAAAACUGGUGACUGGGGCUAAGUCGUAACAAGGUAGCCGUACCGGAAGGUGCGGCUG
rnacentral:rRNA from 1 species